rnacentral:lncRNA from 1 species
GACCGUACGCGUACGGUCUGGACCGUAUGCGUACUUUUUCAAAAUACGCAUACGGUCGGACCGUACGCGUACGGUCUGACUGAUAUUAAGAAGUUGGUCAAGCUUAUUAGAUACAAAUGUAUAUAACAGAUCAACAUGACUUAUAUCUCCAAUUAAUAUAAAAAGUUCAACAGCAUUUGACAUAAAAACUUAAUAUUUUAACUAUUUAAAAAGAUCACGCUUAUUUAAUCUGUUAAUCUCCUGUAUUUUGCAGGCCUGUAAUUCAUUAAUUGCAGCUCAGUAUGCUCAUUGAAAUUGAAGAUAUCGGAAGUAAACAUAAUGUGGGAGGACAAUUGUUUUAGAAUAUUUAUGAACUUUACAAAAGAAAUGCAUACGCAAAGGAACAUGCAUUAACAAAACAUGUAAAUGUAAAAAAUACGACGUUCUUAUUAGAAGCAAGUGUCACCUUCGGCCAGAGUAACAAAAUAGAAUUCACGGAUAUACAAUUAAGCAAAUAUUUAAUUUCAAUUGUUCGCUUAUUCACUUUAUCAUCGGCCAUCUAUUUUGUAAAUAAUACAAUUUGUAUAACUAAAAAUAAAGAUUUUGAUAAAUGUUUGUUUAAAUUUAAC